UAUGAUGAACUAGCAGUUGCCCGUGGCUUCGCACGCGUUGAAAACAGUACACUAUAUUCACUUAUUCUUUUCUAUCACAUUCUAAACCAGGGGUUCCCAAACUGUGGUACGCGUACCCCCUGGUGGUACGUGAGACGUUGCCAGGGGGGUACGUGAGCAGGACCACGCCAGUUUACUAUUAUGUUCUGGCUGAUGCGAGGGAAAUUUCAGGUUGCGGGAAAAGCGAGAGAAGUUUUGUUUUGCGCGACGAGUGGCUACAUCACUGACGCUCUCCACCUUCUAGUUUCUUUGUCAGUUUGUCUAUCGUCUGCUAGUCUGCAAAGUGUGUGGUUUUAAGCGUGUGUCAUACUGCCAAAUUAUUCGUGUAAUUUUAUUCAUUAUUUCAUAGACAGUGUUUGUUAUAGCGAUAUGGAUAAGUGGUUAAGCAAGUCUUCAAACGUUAAGAAAAAGCAAAGAGUUUCAUCAUCACUUGAAGAAGUGUCAUUGUUCCCAUCUCUUGAAUCUUUUAUUAAAGAGAACGAACUUCUCCUGAGUCAAACAAUUUCGAAUGACAUAUCAGAUCAUUGUAGCUCCCUCCAAGCUACAAAAAAUACUUUCAAGAUGAUCUGAGUUCAUACUCGUGGAUUAAAAACCCCUUUGCUGAAAUUGAGAAAAUUCUUCCUAACAGCUUUUCUCUGAAACUCAAAGAGGAACUUUUUGAGUUAAACUGCGAUUCGGAUCUGAAAGAAGUAUUUAACAAAACCACUCUUAUUGGUUUUUGGAUCAAACAACGUUCAGAGUAUGGUGAAAUUGCUGACAAAGCAGUUCAGUUUCUACUACCAUUCCGAACUUCCUAUCUAUGUGAGGCGAGAUUCUCACAUCUGCUGAACAUCAAAAAUAAGUACAGGAACCGAAUUCAAACAGUGGAAUGUGAUCUCAGACUCAAGUUAAGCCCAAUUAUGCCAGACAUGGAAUCAAGUUCCAUUCAAGCUCAUCCCUCACAUUGAAUAACUGAUGAUAACUAUACGAACAUUUUCAUUGUGUGACAUCCACAAUUCUGAAUUUUAUAUUUUGUAAUUUGAUUAUAAUUAAAUAUAUGUAUUAAUACAGUU